GCACAUAAAUGUCUGGAAUUCGCAGUUUAUCUGAAUUCAGUAACCCUUGACGGGCCCCUAGUCCAAACAGAGCUCUACCUCCAGCAUCCUCUUUGCGAGGCUAGCCCUAAAGCUAUUUCGGAGAGAACCAGCUAUCUCCAAGUUCGUUUGGAAUUUCACCGCUACCCACAACUCAUCCCCGCAAUUUUCAACUUACGUGGGUUCGGUCCUCCAGCGCGUUUUACCGCGCCUUCAACCUGGUCAUGGGUAGGUCACUUGGUUUCGGGUCUGCGUCAGCCAACUGCUCGCCCUCUUCAGACUCGCUUUCGCUGCGGCUCCGUCUUUUCUGACUUAACCUUGCUGACUAACGCAACUCGCCGGUUCAUUCUACAAAAGGCACGCCAUUACCCGUUAACGGGCUCUGACUACUUGUAGGCACACGGUUUCAGGUUCUCUUUCACUCCCCUCCCGGGGUUCUUUUCACCUUUCCCUCACGGUACUGGUUCACUAUCGGUCACUGGUUAGUAUUUAGCCUUGCGAGAUGGUCCUCGCGGAUUCAAGCGGGAUUUCACGUGUCCCGCCCUACUCAGGAUACUGAUAGGCCUUCUUUGGAUUUCGCUUACGGGGCUCUCACCCUCUCUGGCGCGUUUUCCCAAACGCUUCUGCUAUCCUCUGAAGUGCCAUGUCUCAGUCCUACAACCCCGGCAGAUAAAUCUGCCGGUUUGGGCUCUUUCCUGUUCGCUCGCCGCUACUUGGGAAAUCGAUAUUUCUUUCUCUUCCUGCAGCUACUUAGAUGUUUCAGUUCGCUGCGUGUUCCUUCCUUAAGCUAUGUAUUCACUUAAGGAUAGCAUGUCUGCACAUGCUGGGUUCCCCCAUUCGGAGACCUCCGGAUCAAAGCCUACUUACGGCUCCCCGAAGACUUUCGCGGUUAGUCGCGUCCUUCAUCGGCUUCCAGUGCCAAGGCAUUCACCGUGCGCCCUUCUUCACUUGACCUUGCAAGUUUGUUCUUUCGAAAGUUAAGGUCCCAAAAUUCAUGCUAAGUGGAAAAGGAUGUGGAGUUGCGCAGACAACUAGGGACGUUGGCUCAGAAGCAGCCAUCAUUCAAAGAGUGCGUAAUAGCUCACUAGUCGAGUGACGCCGCGCCGAAAAUUUACCGGGGCUAAGCAUGAUACCGAAACUGUGGAUGUGCAUUUAUGCACGUGGUAGGAGAGCGUUCUAGCGGCGGUGAAGCAUGACCGAGAGGACAUGUGGAGCUUCUAGAAGUGAGAAUGCCGGUAUGAGUAACGAAAGACAGGUGAGAAUCCUGUCCGCCGCAAGACUAAGGUUUCCUGGGGCAGGCUCGUCCGCCCAGGGUAAGUCGGGACCUAAGGCGAGGCCGAGAGGCGUAGUCGAUGGACAACAGGUUGAAAUUCCUGUACUGCACCGAAUCGUUAUGAGCGAUGGAGGGACGCAGGAGGCUAGCAGCGCGUGGUGCUGGAUACCACGUUCAAGCGUCAAGUCUGAGAGCGAGUCAAAUGCUUGCUUUCAUAAGGACAAGGCGUGAUGAGGAGCGAAAUUAAAGUAGCGAAGGCUGCGACGUCACACUGCCGAGAAAAGCUUCUAGCCAGAAACGGUGCACCCGUACCGCAAACCGACACAGGUAGUCGAGGAGAGUAUCCUCAGGUGAGCGAGAGAACUCUCGUUAAGGAACUCGGCAAAAUGGCCCCGUAACUUCGGGAGAAGGGGCGCUGGUCGCAAGAUCAGCCGCAGUGAAAAGGCCCAAGCAACUGUUUAUCAAAAACACAGGCAUCUGCAAAAUCGUAAGAUGAAGUAUAGGUGCUGACACCUGCCCGGUGCUGGAAGGUUAAGAGGAGAGCUUAGCGCAAGCGAAGGUUUGAAUUGAAGCCCCAGUAAACGGCGGCCGUAACUAUAACGGUCCUAAGGUAGCGAAAUUCCUUGUCGGGUAAGUUCCGACCUGCACGAAAGGUGUAAUGAUUUGGGCACUGUCUCAACGAGAGACUCGGUGAAAUUAUAAUACCCGUGAAGAUGCGGGUUACCCGCGACAGGACGGAAAGACCCCAUGGAGCUUUACUGCAGUUUAAUAUUGGGUAUCUGUCAAGCAUGUACAGGAUAGGUAGGAGCCGGAGAAGAUAGGACGCCAGUCUUAUCAGAGGCGCUGUUGGGAUACUACCCUUGCUUGACGGAUGCUCUAACUCAGGCCUGUGAUCCAGGCCGAGGACAGUGUUUGACGGGCAGUUUGACUGGGGCGGUCGCCUCCUAAAGUGUAACGGAGGCGCCCAAAGGUUCCCUCAGAAUGGUUGGAAAUCAUUCGCAGAGUGUAAAGGCAAAAGGGAGCUUGACUGCGAGAGAGACAACUCGAGCAGGUACGAAAGUAGGGCUUAGUGAUCUGGUGGUACCGCAUGGAAGGGCCAUCACUCAACGGAUAAAAGCUACCCUGGGGAUAACAGGCUUAUCUCCCCCAAGAGUUCACAUCGACGGGGAGGUUUGGCACCUCGAUGUCGGCUCGUCGCAUCCUGGGGCUGAAGUCGGUCCCAAGGGUUGGGCUGUUCGCCCAUUAAAGCGGCACGCGAGCUGGGUUCAGAACGUCGUGAGACAGUUCGGUCCCUAUCCGUCGUGGGCGCAGGAAAUUUGAGAGGAGCUGUCCUUAGUACGAGAGGACCGGGAUGGACGCACCGCUGGUGUACCAGUUGUCUUGCCAAAGGCAUCGCUGGGUAGCUAUGUGCGGACGGGAUAAGCGCUGAAAGCAUCUAAGUGCGAAGCCCCCCUCAAGAUGAGAUUUCCCAUUUCUUCAAGAAAGUAAGACACCUCAGAGACGAUGAGGUAGAUAGGCCGGGAGUGGAAGAGCCGUGAGGCUUGGAGCGGACCGGUACUAAUCAGUCGAGGACUUGACCAA
rnacentral:rRNA from 1 species